rnacentral:rRNA from 1 species
GGCUUGUUGAUGAUAAUUUCAAGUCGUACCUGCCCAAUGAGGAUUUAAAUGGCCGCAGUAUUUUGACUGUGCAAAGGUAGCAUAAUCAUUAGUUUUUUAAUUGAAAACUGGGAUGAAAGGUUUUAUGAAAAGAUUACUGUCUCUUGAAAAUUUUAUUAGAAUUUUAUUUUUAAGUUAAAAAGCUUAAAUUUAUAUAGAAGACGAGAAGACCCUAUAGAGUUUUAUAUUUUUAUAAAGGUAAAUUUUUUGGUAAUAAAGGUUUGGGUUUUUGAAAGUAUUUUGUUGGGGUGAUGGAAAAAUUUGACAAACUUUUUUUAAGGUUUUACACUAAUGUGUGAGUGAGUGAUCCUUUAUUUAGAUUAUAAGAUUAAAUUACCUUAGGGAUAACAGCGUAAUUUUUUUAAGAGUUCUUAUCGUAAAAAAAGAUUGCGACCUCGAUGUUGGAUUAAAAUUAAUUUUUGGUGAAGAAGCUAUAAGAUUAGGUCUGUUCGACCUUUAAAAUUUUACAUGAUCUGAGUUUAAACCGGCGUGAG